ACACUCCUACGGGAGGCAGCAGUGGGGAAUUUUGGACAAUGGGCGAAAGCCUGAUCCAGCAAUGCCGCGUGAGUGAAGAAGGCCUUCGGGUUGAAAAGCUCUUUUGUCAGGGAAGAAACGGUGAGAGCUAAUAUCUUUUGCUAAUGACGGUACCUGAAGAAUAAGCACCGGCUAACUACGUGCCAGCAGCCGCGGUAAUACGUAGGGUGCAAGCGUUAAUCGGAAUUACUGGGCGUAAAGCGUGCGCAGGCGGUUUUGUAAGUCUGAUGUGAAAUCCCCGGGCUCAACCUGGGAAUUGCAUUGGAGACUGCAAGGCUAGAAUCUGGCAGAGGGGGGUAGAAUUCCACGUGUAGCAGUGAAAUGCGUAGAUAUGUGGAGGAACACCGAUGGCGAAGGCAGCCCCCUGGGUCAAGAUUGACGCUCAUGCACGAAAGCGUGGGGAGCAAACAGGAUUAGAAACCCGAGUAGUCCCAUGAU
rnacentral:rRNA from 1 species